rnacentral:rRNA from 1 species
AGGAAGAUUAAUACCGCAUAAGAUUGUAGUAUCGCAUGAUAUAGCAAUUAAAGGAGCAAUUCGCUAUAAGAUGGACCCGCGUCGCAUUAGCUAGUUGGUGAGGUAAUGGCUCACCAAGGCGACGAUGCGUAGCCGACCUGAGAGGGUGAUCGGCCACAUUGGGACUGAGACACGGCCCAGACUCCUACGGGAGCAGCAUG